CCCCCUUUGGGUCCCCUACCUUUGUAUGGGAGCUCUGUUUUCACUCUAUUAAAUCUUGCAACUGCACACUCUUCUGGUCCAUGUUUGUUAUGGCUCAAGGUGAGCUUUCACUGGACAUCCACCAGUGCUGUUUGCUGCCGUUGCAGACCUGCCACUGACUUUCACCCCUCCGGCUCCAGCAGGGUGUCCACUGUGCUCCUGAUCCAGUGAGAUGCCCAUUACUGCUCCUGAUUGGGCUAAAGGCUCACCAUUGUUCGUGCAUGGCUAAGUGCCUGGGUUUGUCCUAAUCAAGCUGAACACUAGUCGCUGGGUUCCAUGGUUUUCUUCUGUGACCCAGGGCUUCUAAUAGAGCUAUAACACCCACCACAUGGCCCAAGAUUCCAUUCCUUGGAAUCCGUGAGGCCAAGAACCCCAGGUCAGAGAACAAGAGGCUUGCCACCAUCUUGGAAGCACCCUGCCACCAUCUUGGGCUGUCUAGGAGCAAGGAUCCCCUGGUAACAUUUUGGUGACCACAAAGGGACUUCCAAAGUGUUGCAUUUAUAUCCAGGUUGCCUGUAUCUUUCCUACUUAAUUGUGAGUUCUUCAAGAGUAAGACCUACAUUUCGUUCAUCUUUGAAUCCCUGGUGCUUGAGGCAUAGUAGGAGUUCAAGAGGUGUGUUGCCCUGUACUUGAAGAGACAGUUUAUGGAAGUUUGUCAUCAGCCACUUUUUGAGCACUUAUAUGCUAGACAUAGGCAUGGAAGACACGGCUCAGAGACACAUGGUGGGAUCCAGGACCAGGAGUUCCAUUAUUCUGCCUUUGGUUGAAUGCAGCACCCCAAACUCCUUAUCAGAGAAUAGCCAUGUGAAGACAGAGAGACACACAAGGAGAACACCAUGUUAAGAUGAAGGCAGAUACUGAAUUGCUGCAAGUCGAGGAACACCAAAGAUUGAUGGCAAAUCACCAGAAGCAAGGAAGAGGCAAGGAAGGAUUGCCAUACAGGCUUCAGAAGGAACAUGGCUCUGCUGACAUCUUGAUUUUGGACUUUUAGUCUCCAUAAACCCAGAGAUCCAUCCCUAGGACCUUUCUUGAGUUCAUCUCCCAUCAAAGUGAAGACAGUGUGAAGAACCAUUCCUGGAAAAUAUCAUCAUGUUGAGGAAUCUCAAAUUCUGGCUAAAUGUAGUACACAAUCUAUGAAAAUUCAUUCACCCUAAGAUAGAGCCAAACAUGCCACAUAUAAUAGCUACCUAGCUCAUGGUGUUAAAGAGAAAUUAUUCACUGGACAUUUGUUGAAAAUGACAAGACAGAAUUUGUUUGAGCUACUGCAAUAGAAGAGAAAUACUUCAGUACAGAACUAAACCCAAUUUUGCAGAAAUAAAAGGUGGGAGGCUUUUUAAACAUCUGGGUGUACUAAAGAAAAAGUACUGAAGGACAGGACAUUAGUGGGGGUUGGCUCAAAAUGAUUAUUAGUCUGUCUUUGUCUGUCAAUUGGAACUUAUCAAAGUUAGGCACCUACACUCCCAGGGAGACUGCACAACAGGGCCUUAUCUUUCUUGGUGAUUACACUUCAAAGGGAUGGCUCCCAGGUCCUUGAGAAAGACAUUCCUGGAAUGUAGAGGAUACACCUCAAAGAGAGAAAAGAUUUACAAUAGCAAGUUUUCUAAAGUAAAUGCUCUAAGAAAAGAGAGAUCAGGGGCCUAUACUCAGGUUUUGGGCUGGAAUGAACAGUAAAUUCUUUUGGCAGUGUUGAGCUUUCUCAGGCAGGCAUUUUAAGGGAUCUGGGUUUGUCAUCCUGGGAACACAGCCUCGAGCUUACAGAAACUAUACUAGUGUUUGCCCAUGUCUCUUAGUUGGGAGGGCAGGAGGAGUUGGGAGAAAUAGUUUGUGCUUUCAGUCGCUGCUCUUAUAGGCCAGGAUUGAGGCCUAGUCAAGAAAAGGGCUUAGAGGAGCCUAACCAAAGUUUGGUCAAGAAGAGUCUUUGUCAACGACUGUAGGAAUCAAUAUAAAUUUCCUCCCAUCACACUAGUGUUCUUAAAGCUGUUAAGUUUUCACUAUAUUUUAAAUAUUUUGUGAAAAGCGUGGGUCAGACUAGAUGAACUUGAGAUGUCUAUUAACAUCAAUGUCCAAGAGGCAGAAAUUUAAUUCAUAUUAGUGGGGUGAGAAUAGAAUGUUUUAGAAAAGCUAAUGAUGAGCCUUCUGAUAUCUCUGUCUUUGGUUUGCAUCUUUCAUUAUAAGUAAGCAAGUGGACUCUGUACCCUUCUUAGAUAUCUUACCUUGAAACAUGCUUUUUUCUUGAGGGAAAAACCCAAAUCAUUGAACAGAUAUUUAUUAAGUACCUACUAUAAAUUAGGAACUUUUCUAGGCAUUGGGGCCACAGCAGUAAACAAGACCAACAGAUGUCUGUCUUGAGGAGGCUCACAUUCUAAUGGUGGGAGACAGACAAUAGGUAAAUACAUAAGACCACUUCAGAUAGAAAAUUUUAUAUAAAAUUACUAUAAAAUAAUCCAAACAGGGCCGGGUGUAGUGGCUCACACCUGUAAUCCCAGCAGUUUGGGAGGCCAAGGCGGGCAGAUCACCUGAGGUCAGGAGUUUGAGACCUGCCUGGCCAACAUGGUGAAAACCUGUCUCUACUAAAAAUACAAAAAUUAGCCAGGUGUAAUGGCGCACACCUAUAAUCCCAACUACUCGGGAGGCUGAGGCAGGUGAAUUGCUUGAACCCAGGAGGCAGAGGUUACAUGAACUGAGAUUGUGCCACAGCGUUCCAGCCUGGGCAAUAGAGCAAGGCUCCAUCUCUAAAAUAAUAAUAAUAAUAAUAAUCCAAACAGGAUUAUUUUAUAAUAAUUGUGAUGUGAUAGAGUGAUGGAGUGGGAGGGAUCUGCUUUAGAUGCAGAGGUCAGAGAACCUCUCUGAGCAGGCAUUUGAAUGAUCCUAUGGGCAUAACAAAGAUCUGGGGGAAGAGCAUUCAGGCCAAGGGAACAUGUGCAAAUGCCUCGAUGUGGAAAUAGUUUUGAUGAGUUUACAGAACAGAAAGGAACAGCUGAAGCAUAAUGAAUAAGCAGGGAGUGGUCUGAAAUGUGGCCAGAGAGGAAAGCCUGGUAAUACAGGGCCUUAUAGGCAGUUGUGAGGAGUUUGUACUUUAUUCUAGCUGCAAUGGAAACUCGUGAAGGUUGUUAAGCAGAGGAGUGAGAACAUCAGACUUAUAGAUAAAUCUUUUCAAAAAUCAUUUUGGUUUUCUGUGAAAAAAGAUUGAUAAGGGGCCAGAUUGGAAGUAGGAGAGUAGUUUUGAGGGUAUUCAAAAAUUCUGGAGGAAUUGUGAUGAUGGCUUGUUCUCAAGUGGUAGUAGUAAAGAUGGAGAGAUAUGAAUGAAUUCAAGUUAUAUUUGAAAGCGUAACUGACUUGUGAGUGGAUUAAGUAAAUGAAAAGGAGAAUCAAGCUAGAUGUAUUGACUUGAGGGAAAUACUGGAGGAAAAUGGGUUUGGAGAGGUGGAAAAGACUUAAGUGUAAAAGGAAAUGCCAAUCAGGCACUGCAUAUAUGAAUAUAGAAUUCAGGAAUGGUAAAAGCUCAAGAUGUCUAUUUGGGAGUCAUCAACAUAUGGACACUUCUUAAACACACCAGCUUUAGCGUUUGGGAAACACAAAACAGAAACAUUCUAGCCAAAUGGGCAGAGGAGGCAAAUGUAGUUUGUCUGUGUUAUUUAUUACAUUUUAUGGUAGUUAUUAUUGCACAUAGGCAUUUUAUAUGCUAUAUGUUAAAUGUGCCCUUAGGCAUACUCGGAAAUAUCAAGGGGGAAGAGAGUGAGAGAAAGGCCUUGCCAUUAAGUUUUAUAGUGUUGUAAUCCUCAAAAUACAUAUCAGUUUCUCAAGUCAACAGGCUCUACCUGCUCAUAAGAACAGUACACUCACUGUGUAGUAAAAAGGCAGAGGGCGGAAGUAUCAGUCAUUAUCUCCUGGUGCAUUCCUACCUUUUUGCUCAACAACUGUAAUAAAUUCAGUGACGCUUAGCUGUCACUCACUUCUGGAUACAAGAGGUUGGAGCAGAAGAGCUUUAAACAGAACUGCUUCCAUGGCCCAUCUGAGGCUAUGGCACAUUGUGUCAUGUAUGAUUACCGGAUAAUUGCAGCAAGUCUUUCAUGGCACAUCCCCAAAGAGUGUCACACUGGCCCUGUAGCAACCAGCAGGCAAUCUGACCAUAGUGUACUUAUGCCUAAUCUCUAUUUCUCAAGCAUCAAAUAAAUUGUCCUUUUUAUGAGAUUGUAUAUUAUCCUGCAGCAGGUCAAACAAUUCUAGAAUUUGGUCAACACUAUUCAGAUAUUAGAGGUGUUCAUUUGGAAAAGUAUGUUUUUCAUUGGCUCUGUGCUUAGCCACAGUGCAACCACACCCCCAGUCUGAGCAUUAUUAAUAAUAAUGAAGUCUUAACAUUAUUGUCAUUUCAUAACUAUUACUGGGCACCCAAAGUUUAAUAAUGAGUUUGUAGAAUUACCAAGGAAAAUUAUACUUCUGAAUCUUGGGCUGAGUUUUACACAGCCCAAUCAUUAUGUUAAAUGAUUAUUUCAAGCUUUAAUUUUCUAUUUUUUUAAUGAAUGCCAUACAUUACUGUCUAAUAGAAACUAUUCAAUCAAGCAGUCUUCUAGUCUUGCCUAAAUGCUUCCAGUGAUCAAGAAUUUUUACCUCUCUGACAUAUUCUGUUCUAAGGUAGUAGAGUAGUUUUAAUACUGAUGUAGUUCUGGUAUAUUCAGCAGUGGUUGGCACAUAACAGAGCUAAAAAUAUUAACUCACAAGCUUUGGAUUAGGUAGUUAUAGCUUCAGAUCUCAUUUCUACUUCUUUAAGGCUGUGAUAUUGGAGACAUUAAUCUUGUAAGCCACACUUUCAUCAUCUAUGAAAUGUGGCUGAAUAUUUACCUUAUAGGGCUUUUUGUAAGUACUAAAUGUGAAGUGCUUAGAACAACAUUUGGCAAUACUGGGCAUCAAUAAAUGGUAGUGAGAUACAACAUUAUUGCCACCCUGUGAUGAGUUCUCCCUUGUACCUCUCACUCCAUGACUCUCACCCAUUUGGGCCAUUAGAAUUGCAGUCUAAAGCUUCCAGUGCUUUAAAAGGGUGACUUCAAGUGACACAAGACUUCAGGUUGUCAAAUUCUUCAAGAAGGAUCUGGAUGAAUUAAUGACCCAAUUCCUCCCUACCCUGGUUCCUCCCAUUCUCUGACUACAUGAAGAUUCUGAAGUAAUCCAUUGGCCCUAAGAGCCAAAAAAUUGGUGCAAUUCCAAAUAAAAGGGAUAAAUUACUCUCCUCCUCUGAGCUGAGGAGGAAUUAGAGAAGAAAGAAUGUGAGACUUUAACUGUUCUCCAGACACUAUUCACCUUGGUGCUCCCUACCCCUUACCCAACAUGGUGAAACCCCAUCUGUAGUAAAAACACAAAAAUUAGCCGGGUGUAAUGGCACGUGCCCGUAAUCCCAGCUACUCGAGAGGCUGAAGCAGGAACUCAGGAGCUGUAGGAGGAACUCAGGAGGAGCCAUCAUAUAUCAUAUAUGGUUUGCAUACAUGCAGAUGUACCCGCCCAAGAAGGAAGUGAGAGGUGGAGUCUCACUUGUGCCUCCUUAACUAAGUCCCAUACUCUGUUGCUGGGCUGGGGGAAGGAGACCCUUUUUCUUCCCACAAAAGCACCAAGCCAUACUGUAUAUAACCGCAUUGACUCAGAGGUGAGGCUUCAUCUAAUUCGCAGGAAGAUAGUGGAGGCAUUAGAUGGAUAAAUUUGUGGGCAUUGCACUGCGCUGUUUUCCCACAGCCUUGAGAGUCAACAGAUUCUCUGAAGCAUUUCCCAGGCUGUUAUACUCUGGGAAACAUGAAGCAGAGACUGUGAAAGGGCAAACUGUUAGGCCAAAGAUCUUAGGCAGUUCCAGAGUUUUACACAGCCCAAGGAGCUCUGGGAAUUGCCAGAUAUCUUCUUUGGCUGAGAAUAGUCCAGGUACAACCCUGACAGCAUGAGGACCUGAGGGAUCCUCAGGCUGGGAUAUAAGGGUUUGGUGUGGAAACCUCAGCGAUGACAGUGUGGAAGGCUGACUAUCCUUGAGGACUGGAUUGGCCUGAAAACUGAAGACCUCAACACCAUAUAACAAGAGUGGAAAGCCUUAGGAGGGCAAGGAUUUUUGCCAACUUUGUUCUGUGAUGUAUGUCUGACAUAUAGGCACUCAAUAAAUACUUGUUUAAAGAAUGGAGGAACAAAGGAAGGAAUAAGACAGAUGAGGACCAAGGAUUAUGUGCUCCCUUUCCACUGAUGUCAAGGUGAAUUAGUUAACAACUUCUGCAUAAUAAUAUUAUUACAAACUUUGCCAUUUAAAAUAACACACAUUUAUUAAUCUCAUAGUUUCUAUGGGUAGGGAAUGCCAGGUAGGCUUAGCUAAGUACCUCUGCUUAGAGUCUUAUAAGACUGCAGCCAGGCCAGGCAUAGUGGCUGUGCCUAUAGUCCCAGCACUUUGGGAGGCUGAGGUGGGAGGAUCACUUGAGGCCAGGAGUUGAAGAUCAGCCAUGGCAACAUAGCAAGACCUCGUCUCUACAAAACAAUUUUAAAAAUCAGUCAUGCAUGGUGGUUUGCACAUGUAGUCCCAGCUACUCGGGAGGCUAAGGUGGGAAGAUCACUUGAGUCCAGGACAUUGAGGCUGCAAGUGAGCCGUGAUUGUGCCACUGCACUCUAGCCUUGGUGACAGAGCAAGACCUUAUCUCAAAAACAAAACAAAAAGACUGCUGAGGCUAUGAUCUCAUCUGAAGCCUGACUUGGGGAGGACCCACUUCCAAGUUCACUCAGGUUGUUGGUAAAUUUUAUUUCUUUUGCAGCUGUAGAACUUCUCUUUUGUGGUAGUAGCCUCUUUUGCUGGCUGACUGUUGGCUGGAAGCCAUCCUCAGCCAGAGGGCUGCCCACUCACCAUGUGCAGUUCCCCAACAUGGCUGCUUGCUUCCUCAAACCAACAAGAGAGGAAGAAGUCGGCACCACAGUCUUAUGUAACAUAAUCACACACAUACAAUUGAAUACAUGGAAUCAUUAAAAUCCCAUCACUUUUGCCAUAACCUAUUGGUUCAAAGCAAGUCAUAGGUUCUGCCCACACUCAAUGGGAAGCGACCACAGAAGGCAUGAAUAUCAGGAGGCAGGGAUUAUAGGGGCCACCUUAAGAUUCCUUCUGUAACACAGGGCACAGUUAUUGUUUUCAGAAUCAAACCUGGGAGAAUGUGGAGGGGGAGAAUCUUGAACUGACCUAGUUUACACCGAAUAGCUUUUUUCCUACAAUUGGGCACUUGAGAUAAAAUCUGAUAGACUUAUAAGAAAUAAAAUUACAUUUUGCAGACCUUAAUAUGUAAUUUUAAAAUUUCUACCUAGCCAUAGGAACUACUGACUUUAUAUUAGCAAAUGUGCCUCCACUCUAAUUUCUAUCUCGUGGUCAUAUUUCUACCUGUUGGUGCCAUAGAAAUAUAAUUUAUCUUUUACCUGAUAACCCUUCAAAUAUUUUAACAAGGAUACACUGUGUCUGAAAAUUCCUCUAAGUUAGUAUUCUUAGGCUUGUUAAUCAUGUAUCACACAAAAGUUUUCUAGAUUUUUCCAAAGUAGUUGCUACUAUCUCUACAUGCCCAAAUAUAUUUGUCUCUUUUAAAGACAAGUGCCUAAAACUAGGUUUUGUGUUUUAUAUAAAAAAUUUUAUCUAGAAUUAUCUAAUUUCUGCUAAAUGGGAUUAUAUUUCUCUUGUUGGUAUAAUGAUAAAGAACUUUUAAAACAAUGGGAAUAACAUUCUAAGAAAAACAACAUACUAUAGCAACAACUCUGAG
rnacentral:lncRNA from 1 species